ACAACAAUAAAAAAUGCAAAAAAUGAUAAUUAUUUCUUUUCCUCCUUCCGAGCAGAUGCCUCAAACUUAAAUGUAUUUUAAAUUGCGCUUCUUACCAGGAAGGGUU
rnacentral:sRNA from 1 species